UACGGAGGGGGCAAGCGUUGUUCGGAAUUAUUGGGCGUAAAGGGCGCGUAGGCGGCUAGUUGUGUCACGGGUGAAAUCCCUCGGCUCAACUGAGGAACUGCCUUUGAAACUGUCUGGCUUGAGGCCGGGAGAGGGUAGCGGAAUUCCCAGUGUAGCGGUGAAAUGCGUAGAUAUUGGGAGGAACACCAGUGGCGAAGGCGGCUACCUGGACCGGAUCUGACGCUGAGGCGCGAAAGCGUGGGUAGCAAACAGG
rnacentral:rRNA from 1 species